UGAUAAAUUAUAGAAUAUUAUAAUAAUAUGAUCACGUGAUACAUCUUGUACACAUAUAUGAGUGGACGCUAGAGUUUAUUUCCCGUUUUCAGGGAAUAAUAUCAAUAAAUAUUCACUUGCAUUAUAACACUUUAUGACAAUAUUAUCGUAGUAUUCUAUAAUCACUUAUUCACAGUUAAAUCUCCCAACCAAAACGCACCUUAUGGUGGUCGAACAUGAGCCUCCAUAGAUCCGUG
rnacentral:lncRNA from 1 species